UACGAAGGGGGCUAGCGUUGCUCGGAAUUACUGGGCGUAAAGGGAGCGUAGGCGGAUAGUUUAGUCAGAGGUGAAAGCCCAAGGGCCUCAACCUUGGAAUUGCCUUUGAUACUGGCUAUCUUGAGUACGGGAGAGGUGAGUGGAACUCCGAGUGUAGAGGUGAAAUUCGUAGAUAUUCGCAAGAACACCAGUGGCGAAGGCGGACUCACUGGCCCGAGU
rnacentral:rRNA from 1 species